GAUGAACGCUGGCGGCGUGCCUAAUACAUGCAAGUCGAGCGAACAGACGAGGAGCUUGCUCCUCUGACGUUAGCGGCGGACGGGUGAGUAACAAGUGGAUAACCUACCUAUAAGACUGGGAUAACUUCGGGAAACCGGAGCUAAUAACGGAUAAUAUAUUGAACCGCAUGGUUCAAUAGUGAAAGACGGUUUUGCUGUCACUUUUAGAUGGAUCCGCGCCGCAUUAGCUAGUUGGUAAGGUAACGGCUUACCAAGGCAACGAUGCGUAGCCGAACUGAGAGGAUGAUCAGCCACACUGGAACUGAGACACGGUCCAGACUCCUACGGGAGGCAGCAGUAGGGAAUCUUCCGCAAUGGGCGAAAGCCUGACGGAGCAACGCCGCGUGAGUGAUGAAGGUCUUCGGAUCGUAAAACUCUGUUAUUAGGGAAGAACAAAUGUGUAAGUAACUAUGCACGUCUUGACGGUACCUAAUCAGAAAGCCACGGCUAACUACGUG
rnacentral:rRNA from 1 species